CAGUACUGAAUGAUGUUUAACAUGACAGUUCUGUGUUUCUAUCACACAGAGGAACAGAGAUGUUGAGGGGGGACGAGGAUCUGUGCUUCUGUCAGAAAGUGAAUUUAUUGAUCAGAAUGGAAUUGCUUUCCCAGUUCCUCCAGACGUUGAGAGGAAAUCUGCUAAACAGUCUGCACGAGAGCGACGCAGACUAGCAAACCUGCAGUCUGCAGAGAGGAAGCCAGUGCAGCUGCAGUCCUUCAAUAUGAGGAAGUACAGAGACACAAACACUCCCAGGAUGAAGGAACUACAAGCCUUCAGCCAUCACACCGCCACAGCAGGAGACUCUGAUGAUGAUGAUGAAGCAAAUGGUGGUGAUGAGCAUUUUACCCUGCAGUCUCCAGGCAGGCCCAGCUCUAUUGAUACAGCCACUACCGAGCACUGGAUUCGAGCGGAGUCAUCAGACACACUCAGGAGGCUGAUGUCCGCCUCUGAACUUUAAGACGGACCAUUACAUACAUGACCGCACUGUGUGAGCUUGUUAUUGCAAUGCAGUAUAUAUAGGAUAUUUUAUGUAGUCUUCAGAUCUCUUAAAUAAAAGGAUGAUCAGCAGAAUCUCUACGAGAUCAACUGCUUUAACUGCAUCACAAAAUCUCUUCUGUAAACUGAUCUGUGGAUCCAUGAUAUCAAGGGGUUCUUUUUAACAAAGAACAGAGGGAAUGAUACAUUUCUAAUCUUUUUGUGGUAUUUUUUUUCCCAAGACAUAAAUACUAGCAUUUUGACAGAUUUUGAAAGUGUUUUUACACCAGGAUCACCUGCUCACACCAAGGAUGAUAAUAACUAUAAUGAUGAAGUUUUAAAAAUCGUUCAGAAUUUUAAAAUUUAAAUAGCUUAAUCCACACAUCUAUUGCAUGACAGUGGCACUUUCAGAUGAUUUUUUUUCCAACCGAUGAAUGCUUGACAGCCAAUCAGAAUCCACCUGAAAUUAAAGAGCUUGAGCAUAUAAAACGGCAGAUGAUUGUCCGUUGGUGUGGACACUGAUUGUGAACAGCCCUUUAGAGUGAAUGGCAUGUGUGAGAGAAGCAUAUAGUACUCACUCAGUGCAAAACCUGCUCUUAUUUGAACCAUUUCGAGACCGCAGACAGACCACGGCUAACAAAGCCCGGCAAGAUCAAUUCUGCUGUGGCUGAUACCAUCCAUAAUCCGGCUGACUAUGGAUGGUUUUGACUUUUCUUCUUUAUGCAUUUCUGAUCUUAAGCGGUAAAUCUGCCUCUGCAUCUGGGAGGCUUGCUCCUGUAAACCCUUCUGUAGAAGAGCAUCCUUCUCCUGCAAUACAACACAAAACCGCCACAAGUGAAAGAAUUGCUCUUUGUUUCAUGACUGCAUGUUAUUUUUAAUCUUUAUCAGCAUUAAAGAUGUUGAUCAGUGCUGUUGUGACCAUCUGCUAAGCAUGCAUGUGUGAACUGUACCAUUAUUUGUGAGUGUGUUCUUGCUCUGUAGUCAUUGGUCAGAUGUCUGAGCAUGUCUCUGUACUGUCGGUAUCCUCCAGAUCUCAGGAAUGAUCCAUCAAAAACACAUUUUUCCAGUGUAUCAAACACUUCACGCAGAACAGCUUUACACUGCUUGAUAGAUUCUUCUGCUGAUAUUCAUCAUACAUUUUCCCCUAAAACAAAUGAAAGAAACAGAGAAAAUGUGAUGAACUGUUAAAUUUGUACUCUACGUUUGCAUAGACACUGUUUAUUUGAGCUUUUUGUGUCAGCAGGUACUGUACCAUGAGCUCUUGUUGGUAGAUCUGGUCAUUGUCAUUGAAGGACAUGGAGAUGAAAACUUCAACUGCUUUCUUCUCUGCAAUUUUGUGGAUGUCAGACAGUUCUUCUGGGCGCAUAGGAAGCUGAGCCAUGCUGAGCACCUCUGUCAUGUAGAACUGCAGAAUGAAUGCAGCCUGGAUGAGCAUUCUUUUUAGUAA
rnacentral:lncRNA from 1 species